CUUGAGCCUGGAUUCCCCUGUGUGUCAUCUGGAUGCACAGCAGGGAAACCAGGUCUCAAAGCGCACUAAGGCCUUGUCUAGCAAGGCCCUUAGACU